GAGCAGCAUUGAAAGGAGAGAUUAGCACUCCCUUUGACAGAAUGGAAGAGGCCUUUGGACAUGAAAACAUGCAUGUAAGUAGGACCUUGUCACCUACUUCAUGAUAUCUAAUCACUGUUUGAA
ensembl:snRNA